UCGGAGGGGCGGGCACGAGGGCCAGAGGGGAGAAGGCGCGAGAGCGCUAGUGCGCGUGCGCGAGCGGCGGGACUUUAUCUCGCGCCGUCAGAGGAAGCCGGAGCGCUUGUCCUGAGUUGGUGAUCGAUCGAUCGUGGUCCAGCAUGCAGAAGUGACUGAGUGGGGAAAAGCAGCAGAGCUGAUGAGUUGUGAAGACGUGUGUUUGAGGGCUGCCACACUCUCUACUCCAGGAAAGGAAGCAGAUUGCCACAGAGUUGAAGAUUCCAGGUUUGGUGGAUAAUAGCAUGAGCAAAGCACAUGGUCCUGCCAGUUCCACUUUAUCCUUCAUCACUGGCGGUCACAUGUCUGUUUACUCAUCUCUUUACAGUUCCUGGUGAAUCAGUUCCAGCUUGUAAAGUGAAUCCCUCUCCUGAAUUUGAAUCCCAGCUCCUCCACUCCUGGCCGUGUGGACCAUGAAGCAGCUGUGAUGUAUGACCUGCACAUGGAGUGACUCAUGUGACAGAGCUGAGGGAGGGUCCUGAUCAAUAGACAGGAAGUGAGGCCCUGAAGUCUAACAGCUCACAGAGUUCUGCUGAUAACAUGCAAGUGUGUAGGGAGCAGAUCUCCUGACUCAAGACUCAGUUGAGACAGCAACCACAGGCACAUGAGAACUUGGGGCAGUCACCAGAUUGUGACUUCCUGGGGACAGGGACCACGGGGGUCAUUUUCAGAACCAGCUCUUGGACCACCUGCUAAUGUCGCUCCUGCUCGUGCACUAACACUGGAGCUCCAUAGUGCACCAACUAUUCCAUCAUCAGCUCCAUCACCAACAGCAGAUGGACAAACAGCUGGAGGGGUAGAUUUCAAUCCUGGGCCACCUCCAGAAUGGCUCCCAGAUCACCUGCUGAUGUCGAUCCUGCUCCUGCUCAACAUCACAGCCCUAUAGAGCACCAGGUCCUCCAUCUCCAGCUCUGCCUUGGUCACCAGGGGAUGAGCCAUUUUCUGUAACUCCUCCACAGCCACCCCUCAUUCACAGCUAGGGAACAUCAGCUCCAGAAACACACCCUUUCUUCAACUCACCUCAGUGGGAAUUUUUUUGGUUUUGUCGUAGUAUUUUUCCAGAUCACUUUAUAGUUUAUACUAUUUUAACAGGUAGAUUUCUCAUAAAAUAAAAUGUUUUAGUAGUUUUAAAGUGUGUAGUAUAGUGGCUUUAUGUACUUUUACAGUCUUACUGAACCAUCAUCAGUACCUAUGUCAGAAGAUUUUCAUCACCACUGUGAUGGCUCAUGUUAUGUGUCAGUUUGCUUAGGCCAUAAUCAUCAUAAUCAAGGGUUUGGCAGACAUUAUGUAAUCAGCCUCCAUUUUGUGAUUUGAUGUUGGAAGAGGAGUUGCCCUGGAGGAGUGAACUGCAAAUUAACACACCUCCUGGUACCUGGUAUACAGCCAUUUAUCUGGCCAGUGCCUUUUUCUUCAUCCUUGUUUUGAAGGACAGGUCCCUCUUGAUGAAACACAGCAUAGAUCUGUAAGAUUUUGGAGUAAAUCCCUGCCAUCCUCUGCAGAUAACUACUCUCCUUUUUACAAACAGCUUUUGGCUUCUUAUGGGUCCUUAGUAGAGACUGAACUCUUAACCAUGGGCCACCAAGUCACCAUGUGGCCUGAGCUUCCCAUUAUGAACUCGAUGUUGUCUGACCCAGAGAGUCAUACAUUUGGACAUGCACAGCAGCGCACCACCAUUAAAUGGAAGUGGUAUGUACAAGAUCGGGCCUGAGCAAGACCCGAAGGCACAAGUAAGUUGCAUGAGGAAAUGGCCCCAAUGCCAUGGUCUCCACUCCUGUCACAUACCUUUCAUCUCCCAGUCUGCACCUAUGGCCUCAUGGGGAUUUCCUUAUGAUCUGGUGACUGAAGAUAAGAAAACUUGUGCCUUGUUUACAGAUGGUUCUGUGCAACAUGCAGGUACUGGUUGAAAAUGGAGAGCAGCAGCACUAUGGCCCCUUGCUGGGACCUCUCUGAAGGACAGUGGUGAAGGGAAAUCCUUCCAAUGGGCAGAACUAUGAGCAGUGCACCUGGGUGUUCCCUUUGCUUGGAAGGAGAAAUGGCCAGAUGUGUGAAUGUAUGUAUACUGAUCCAUGGGCUGUGGCCAGUGGUUUACCUGGAUUGUCAAGGACUUGGAAGGACAUGAUUGGGAAACUGGAGACAGGGAUUUAUGGGGAAGAGAUACGUGGAUAGACCUCUUUGAAUGGGCCAAAGAAGUGAAGAUAUUUGUGUCUCAUGUGAACCCUUGCUAAAGACUGACCUUAGCAGACGAAGACUUUUUAACAAUCAAGUGGAUAAGAUGACGUGUUCUGUGGAAACCACUUCACCUCCUUUCCUAGGUACUCCCAUCAAUGCUUAUGAACAAAGUGGCCAUGAUGGCAGGGAUGGAGGUUAUGCAUGGGCCCAGAAACAUUGACUUCUACUCCUCAAGGGCAACUUGGUGACAGCCACUGCUAAGUGCCCAAUCUGCCAGCAGCAGAGACCAACACUGAGUCCCCGAUAUGGCCCCACCCCUCAAAGUGAUCAUCCAGCAACCUGGUGGCAAGCUGAUUACAUUGGACCACUUCCGUCAUGGAAAGGGCAAAGUUUUGUUCUUACGGGAAUAGACAUUUACUCUGAAUAUGGAUUUACCUUCCCUGCAUGCAAUGCUCCUGCCAAAACUACCACCCAUGGACUUACAGAACGCCUUAUCCACCAUCAUUGUAUCCCAAGUGCAUUUCUUUUAAUCAAGGGACUCACUUCACAGCAAAUGAAAUGCAGCAGUGGGCCCAUGCUCAUGGAAUUCAUUGGUCUUACCAUGUUCCCAUCAUUCUGAAGUAGCUGGUUUGAUAGAAUGACGGAAUGGACUCCUAAAGACACAAUUACAGUGCCAGCCAGGUGGCAGUACCUUGCAGGGUUAGGGCAGUGUUCACCUAGAGGCUGUAUAUGCUCUAAACUAGCGUCCAGUAUAUGGUGUUGUAUCUCCCAUAGCCAGGAUUCAUGGGUCCAGGAAUCAAGGGGUGGAAAAGGGAGUGGCACCACUCACUAUUACCCUUAGUGACCCACUCAUAAGAUUUUUUGCUUCCUGUAUCCUAGCUUCUUUGCUUGUUUUGUUUUGAUAUGCCCAAAUGGGUUGCUUGAGUGAGCUAGCUGGAUUAUUUUCACCUUUAAAAUUCUGCUGUCCUGUCACCAGAUGGCUAGAGCUGUUAUCAGAUAUAUCAGUCUAGGAGUCCAUUCACUUUUCUUGUGUGGAUUCAGCUCAGGUGUCCAGGUAGCUGAUCAUCUAGUGUGUGGUACAGGCUCUUUCCUACAGUCUUAGAGGGGCAGGGGUGAUUACUGUAGGUCUGGUAUUGGGUUGCAGCAGGGGGUCACACUCUGAACAAGGAGGGGGCUGAGAAACAUCCCCCAUGUAUCUGUGAAGAAAGUGUGUCCCUGUUCCCUAGAGCGUACAGGCGGGUGGGUUCUGCAGAAAUACCAUGGGCACCCAGUGCUUGUGGUUGUAAGGACUGGGAGGUACCAGCUAUCCUUGGACCCAUGUCGUGAGUGGCAGGGUGACCUGAGUGGAGCCACCAGCCCUUGUGCCCAUGAUGUGGGUAGGUGAGGACCCUUGUUUAAGAGGCAAAGCAGUGUCAGAUAUAAAACAACCACCUCUCCACAGCACAGCUGAAAUGGUUGCAGUCUAUCAUCAAAAGCCUAUUCUCCUGGAAUACGCCCUCACAGGUCCAUGCAGGGGGGAAAGAUAUUCAAAGUCCAUGGACCAUUUAUGCCUGGACAGGAGCCUCUUCAGUCCUGAGCGCUGCCGGUUACUGGAACUGGCAAAUUAUCUUUUCACCCAGUUGUGAAUUUAUUCCUACUCCAAAGCCUGGAGGUUGGCUCUGGGUGCUCAACAGGGCCUAUCUCAGGCCCAGGGACAUCAACAGCCACUGAAGCCAGCCUGGGGGUGGGGGGUGCAGUAAAACAUACACAAGUGCUUGGCUUUUGCCAAGAGAGCCAUUCUUCUCUUGUUCUUGCCAGCAGGCUGUGUGGCUGGCUUCUUCUCCCUUAGGAAACUGCAGCAGAACACUGCUAACAGCCCACUGCAGCCACUUCCAGGAAUGGUGCCUGAGGGAUCUCGGUGAUUCAGGUCCAGUAACUCCUCUCCGCUUCUGAACCAUCUAUUCCUCUCCCUGCUGCUCAGUCCGUCUUCUGACUUUGCCGUUGAUGUUCAAGACUCCUAGCUUGUCAUAAAUAUAAUCGUUUCACUUUUUUUUCGGGUCUUUGUUGUCAGAGGGAUCGCAGGAACUGUCUGGCUAUUCCACCAUCUUGGCACCACGUCCUGUUUCUACUUUUUUGAGGAAGCAUCAUAUCGAUUUCCAAAGUGGUUGUACCAUUUUAUAUUCCUACCAGCAGUAUCUAAAUAUUCCAGUCUCUCCACAACCUCUCCAACAUUUAUUAUUCUGUGUUUAUUGGAUUAAUGCCAGCCUUGUUGGAGUGAGAUGGAAUCUCAUUCUAGUUUUGAUUUGCAUUUCUCUAUUGGCUUUUUUUUUUUU